rnacentral:rRNA from 1 species
GACGAACGCUGGCGGCGUGCUUAACACAUGCAAGUCGAACGAAGUGGCGAACGGGUGAGUAACGCGUAAUCAACCUGCCCUUCAGAGGGGGACAACAGUUGGAAACGACUGCUAAUACCGCAUACUGAAGGAGGGGAUUGCGUCUGAUUAGCUAGUUGGGGGGGUAACGGCCCACCAAGGAGAUGAUCAGUAGCCGGUCUGAGAGGAUGACCGGCCACAUUGGGACUGAGACACGGCCCAGACUCCUACGGGAGGCAGCAGUGGGGAAUCUUCCGCAAUGGACGAAAGUCUGACGGAGCAACGCCGCGUGUGUGAUGACGGCCUUCGGGUUGUAAAGCUCUGUUAAUCGGGACGCGGUACCGGAAUAGAAAGCCACGGCUAACUACGUGCCAGCAGCCGCGGAAUAC